rnacentral:rRNA from 1 species
UACGUAGGGUGCGAGCGUUAAUCGGAAUUAUUGGGCGUAAAGGGUGCGCAGGCGGUUUAUCAAGCUUGAUGUGAAAUCCCCGAGCUUAACUUGGGAAGUGCAUUGAGGACUGAUGAACUUGAGUCUGUCAGAGGGGGGUGGAAUUCCACGUGUAGCAGUGAAAUGCGUAGAGAUGUGGAGGAACACCAAUGGCGAAGGCAGCCCCCUGGGAUAAGACUGACGCUCAGGCACGAAAGCGUGGGUAGCAAACAGG